CAAUGGUCUGUACAAUGAACAGGUCAGCACCUAGCCUAAUUAUCAUCAGAGAAACAUCUUUCAGAAACUGAUGGGAGCAGAUGGCGAGAUCCACAGCCAAACAAAAGGCAGAGCCUGGGGAACUGCUGAGGAAGAAAGAAAGGAGGAUUGCAGGAGCCAGAGGAGUUGAGGACACCAUGAGAACACAGAGACCUAACCAACCAUCAUGGACCCUGUUGAGACACCCACUCCCGCCCCUGAGGAAGCUGGGAUUGGGGGGGUGCAAUCCUCCAUGUCUUAGAACUGUGUGAAGGAGAGAAGAGAAGAAAGUAUCCCUGGAAGAAGAACUGAACAUGCAAG